rnacentral:rRNA from 1 species
UACGUAGGGGGCAAGCGUUGUCCGGAAUUAUUGGGCGUAAAGCGCGUGUAGGCGGCUCGGUAAGUCUGCUGUGAAAGUCCAGGGCUCAACCCUGGAACGCCGGUGGAUACUGUCGAGCUCGAGUCCGGAAGAGGCGAGUGGAAUUCCUGGUGUAGCGGUGGAAUGCGCAGAUAUCGGGAGGAACACCAAUGGCGAAGGCAGCUCGCUGGGACGUGACUGACGCUGAGACGCGAAAGCGUGGGGAGCAAACAGG